rnacentral:rRNA from 1 species
CCUACGGGUGGCAGCAGUGAGGAAUAUUGGUCAAUGGCCGAGAGGCUGAACCAGCCAAGUCGCGUGAGGGAAGACGGCCCUACGGGUUGUAAACUUCUUUUGUCAGGGAGCAAUUGAGUCCACGUGUGGUCUUAGUGAGAGUACCUGAAGAAAAAGCAUCGGCUAACUCCGUGCCAGCAGCCGCGGUAAUACGGAGGAUGCGAGCGUUAUCCGGAUUUAUUGGGUUUAAAGGGUGCGUAGGCGGAAUAUCAAGUCAGCGGUAAAAAUUCGGGGCUCAACCCCGUCGUGCCGUUGAAACUGAUGUUCUUGAGUGGGCGAGAAGUAUGCGGAAUGCGUGGUGUAGCGGUGAAAUGCAUAGAUAUCACGCAGAACUCCGAUUGCGAAGGCAGCAUACCGGCGCCCAACUGACGCUGAAGCACGAAAGCGUGGGUAUCGAACAGGAUUAGAUACCCUUGUAGUC